CGUGAGCAACCUGCCUUGGAGUGGGGAAUAACGGUUGGAAACAGCCGCUAAUACCGCAUGAUGCGUCUGGGAGGCAUCUCUCUGGACGCCAAAGAUUUAUCGCUCUGAGAUGAGCUCGCGUCUGAUUAGCUUGUUGGCGGGGUAAAGGCCCACCAAGGCGACGAUCAGUAGCCGGACUGAGAGGUUGGCCGGCCACAUUGGGACUGAGACACGGCCCAGACUCCUACGGAAGGCAGCAG
rnacentral:rRNA from 1 species